rnacentral:rRNA from 1 species
UACGGAGGGUGCAAGCGUUAUCCGGAUUCACUGGGUUUAAAGGGUGUGUAGGCGGGUAUUUAAGUCGGUGGUGAAAUCUCUGAGCUCAACUCAGAAACUGCCAUUGAUACUAUUUAUCUUGAAUAUCGUUGAGGUUGGCGGAAUAUAUCAUGUAGCGGUGAAAUGCAUAGAUAUGAUAUAGAACACCGAUGGCGAAGGCAGCUAACUAAGCGAUGAUUGACGCUGAGGCACGAAAGCGUGGGGAGCAAACAGG